GACGAACGCUGGCGGCGUGCUUAACACAUGCAAGUCGAACGAUGAAGCUGGAGCUUGCUCCAGUGGAUUAGUGGCGAACGGGUGAGUAACACGUGAGCAAUCUGCCCUUGACUCUGGGAUAACUGCGGGAAACUGUAGCUAAUACCGGAUACGACACCUUGGGGCAUCCCGGGGUGUGGAAAGAAUUUCGGUCAAGGAUGAGCUCGCGGCCUAUCAGCUUGUUGGUGAGGUAAAGGCUCACCAAGGCGACGACGGGUAGCCGGCCUGAGAGGGUGACCGGCCACACUGGAACUGAGACACGGCCCAGACGCCUACGGGAGGCAGCAGUGGGGAAUAUUGCACAAUGGGCGAAAGCCUGAUGCAGCAACGCCGCGUGAGGGAUGACGGCCUUCGGGUUGUAAACCUCUUUUAGCAGGGAAGAAGCGAAAGUGACGGUACCUGCAGAAAAAGCACCGGCUAACUACGUGCCAGCAGCCGCAGUAA
rnacentral:rRNA from 1 species